rnacentral:lncRNA from 1 species
AUGGGGGCACUGUAUUGGAUGAGGCUACAGAAUUGGAUCAGAUCCCCAGUGAGCUACGUAUUCCACUUAUUUGAAGACAUUUUGGAUAUAGUGGUUGCUCCAGUGGAUAUGGUCAGUGAAGCUCUUGUGCAAAUGUUAAGUGGGAUCAAGACUGUUAUACUUUAUAUUUCCUCCAUGUUUGGGGGCAUUGAAGGGUACACAGGCAUCACUGAAACAGUGAACCUUGGUGGCACUGUACUGGAUGAGGUUACUGACUGGAUUAGAUUCCCAGUGGCCUACUUAUUCCAUUUAUUUGAAGAUAUCCUGGAUGUAGCAAUCAUUUAUCCAGCAGACAUUGCCAGUGAAGCAGCUCUGCAAAUUUUAAGUGGGAUCAAGAACAUUUCUUCAACCAUAUUCGGGAACCUUGAAGCUUGGUUUCCCAAAACGAGCACUGAUCCUGCGGGGCUGGCUGAAAUAGUUGUAGAGGAGGCUGCAGAAGUAAAGACCACUGUUUCUAAUUACCUAUCAAGUCUGUUUGCAGCGGAUGAAGGUGGUAUUUCUGACAUUAGCUUUGAUCCCAUGAAAGUUGUCACAGACACUGUUGAGGAGUUUGCUGACAGGAGGGAUAUGUUCUUGGCUUAUCUCUCAAACAUGCUCAUGGAAGACAAAGAUGACACACCGCAAGUGGUAAGACGAAAAGGAGAAUUUCUGCCCCCUAUGGAAAAAGUUGCAGAAAUACUAGGCAAAACACAGGACCCUGCCUAUGCUGCCUACAUUGCUGUGAGAUCCACACACAGUACUAAACAGGAAAUAAAAGAGGUAGAAGCCGCUGAAGAUACAACUGAAAAAGCUCAAGAUGUUGUGGACGUUCCAAAGGAUGAAGGGAUGGUUGAAACGGCUUUGGGCAGCUCUGAUGUCACAAUUGAAGACGAUGAGGUUGCCUCCGAUGACAUGGAGGAGGAUAAAACUGCUGGAACAGUUGAAGAUAUUGCAGAUGUCACAGAAGAGGAACCUUCUGUUAUGCAAGAAGACAUAGAUGGGGAAACAGAACCUGAAAAGUUUGAGGUUAUCUCUGAUUUUGCAGAGGACGACUCAACUGAUAUGACUUCUGAUGCUACAGAUGUGAAGGACAUGGAUGAUACCUCAGAUUUUGCAACAGCAGGUGAUGAAGUUACUGAAACAGUUGAAGAUAUUUUGGAUGUUACAGAAGAGGAACUUUCUGUUAUGGCAGAAGUCAUGGGUGAGGAAAAAACAACUGAAAAGGCUGAAGAUAUCUCAGAUUUUGUAGAUGAUAAAUCAACUGAAAUGACAUCUGAUGCUACAGAUGUUGACGCUGCCUCAGAUGAUAUUAAAGAGGAGGAAGAAGUUACUGAAACAGCUGAAGAUGCAGAUGUAACAGAGGAGGAACCAUCAGAUAUACCAGAAGUCAUAGAUGAGGAAACAGCGACUGAAAAGGUUGACGAUAUCUCAGAUUUUGCAGAGGACAAAUCAACUGAAAUUACUGAAUCUGAUGAAUUUGAUGCUACAGAUAUGAAAGACACUGACAAUACCUCAGAUGUUGUUACAGAGGAAGAAGUUACUGAAACAGUUGAAGAUGUAGAUGUUACAGUGGAGGAAACAUCUGAUAUUCCAAAAGUAAUAGAUGAGGAAAUAACAACAGAAAAGUUUGAAGAUAUCUCUGAUUUUAAAGAGGACGAAUCAGCUGAAAUGACCUCCGAUGUGACAGAAGACACUGAUGCUCUUACAGAGGAGGAAGUAGUUACUAAAACAGCUGAAGAUAUUCCAGAUGUUACAGAGGAGGAAACAUAUGACAUUCCAGAAGUCAUAGAUGAGGAAUUAGCAACUGAAAAGCCUGAUGAUAUCUUUGAAUCCAUAGAGGACGAGUCAACUAUGAUGACUUCUGAUGUGACAGAAGACACUGAUUAUGCCUCAGAUGUUGUUACAGAGGAAGAAGUUAUAAAAUCAGUUGAAGAUAUUGCAGAUGCUACAGAGAACAAACCAUCUGAUAUGCCAGAAGUCAUUGACAUUGAUGAUACCUCAGAUCAAGAUACCUCUGCAGUUAUAGAGGAGAAAGAAUCAACUGAAACAAUUGAAGAAGCAGCAAUUGAAACAGCAGAAGGUACUUCCUAUGUUACAACCAAAACAGAAUUAGAUAAUACAGAUGAAAAUGAAAUUCAGAAAUACCCCAGUGUUACAGAGGAGGAGGAAGAACCUGAAAAAGUUAAAGAUACUUUUGAUUUCAUAAGUGAGGAAGAAAAACCUAAGACAGAUGAAGAUGCCAGCACUGAAGAAACAGCCAAAGAGUCACUAGAAAAAGACCCUUUAUUGGCUGAAGCUACUCCAGAUGCCAUCUGUGUAAAGGAAAAGACUGAAGCAACAGAACUUGAUGAUCUUGAAGUCCUGGGUGAGGAUGACAUGAAAGUGGAAGGCAAGGAGGAGAAGGUAGAUGUGGCAAUUGCUGAUGCUGAAAGUGGUACAAAGAACCUGGAGAUUGAUUUAGAUGAAGAUGAGGUUGAGGUUUUAAAAGAGGAGACUAAAGAUCAAACUAUCUUGGGAACCACUGCUGGUGAAGAUGACAAUGAUGAUGAAGAGAAGCUUCUCCUUUCUCCUGUCCAGCAGGACCUAACAAACAGAGAUGAUGAAAAUAACAAUAACAAUGACAGAAAGAAAGAUGCCAUAAAAAGAGGCCUGAGCGGGAGAAAAACAUCAAAGAGUCAUUCCACUGAAACAGAUGACCAAGAAGCGCACACGCAUCUUCAUGAAGUUCUUGAACAAGUGAAAGAAGCCAAAGAGAAAAAAGCUAGAGAGGAGAUAUACAAAAUCAUUCAAGAUAUGAGGGAGAAGAAGGCUGAUGGUGAAGAGGAAGAGAUAACACUACAACAAAUAAACAUAACAGUAGAAAAAGUCAAGAAGAGAAAAGAACACGAGAAAAAGGAGAUAGAAAAUGCUAAAAGAAAAGAAAAAUCCAAAGAGGACAAGACUCGAGAACCAACAAGUAAGAUUCAGUGUCGACUAGUAGGAGCUGUACCGUUUAGUCGACUAGUCGACUAGACCCGCACAUCCCUUAUACAUAUGUGAGUUCUCUCUUUGUCAGUAUGCUAAAAAUGACAGUCUCUCUGUCACACACAGUCAGUGGCCUUUACUUUUUUUUAUUUACUUGUACUCUGUUAAAAGCUAUUUCCUUUAUUUCUAAACUGUGGUGUACCAAGAUGUCUUACUAACAUACGCAAACACAAGGGUACAUGCCAAGAUGUCUUACUAACAUACGCAAACACAAGGGUACAUGCAUAAGUGUACUUUUAGACUUUUUAGAGUUUCACUCACAAAGAAAGAGUUCUGCUACCAACAGCAGCCUGCAAUAUCUUCUUUUCUCUCGGAAACAAAUAUAAUAUAGAUUUUGACACCUGGUUUUAAACGACUACAAACCGCAGGAUGAUACAACACAAUGCUGUUAAACUACAGCAGCAACAGCUGAUGUCAGAAUCUAGACAGCAAUGAGAUUAGAGUCACUGUAACUAAGCCCCAGAUGAUUUGAGAAUCACGGGACUCCCCUAAUACCCCUCACGUCUCACUCACCCACAUGCACCGUUAGCACAAAUCACAGUCUAAAGGACACAGCACUGCACUCUACAACUCAGAUCAACUAAACCUCAAGAUCAAGCUCUCAAAAGAGUAGAGUCAUGUAAAAGUACAACCUGAUGGAGGAGUCAAAAUCAUCCAAACGUCUUCUUUCCUCACCAGAAACUUUUAGAGAAAGCAAGAGAGAGGGGGGAAGAGAGUAAGAGAGAAAGAAGAGAAUGGAGACAGAAAGAAGGUUGACUGAGGAUGGGGAAAGAGAGAGCAUGCAGUCUGUCCUAAGAGAGUGGGAGGGUCAAAAAGUGAGCUGGUGAGAGAGAGAGGGAAGGGGGGGGGGCGGGGCGUCGACGAGAUAGCAGCAGAUUCNGCUGACAAAGCAUGCUCCUCUGAUGACAGGGUCGAAAAGUAGAGCUGGNGUGAGAGAGAGAGAAGGGGAGGGGGGGGCGCUCACAGAUAGCAGCAGAUUCUGCUGACAAAGCAUGCUUCCUCUGAUGCAAAAACCUAUUAUAUAUGCAGAUCAGAAUCAACCAAUAACUUAUAGCUUAUGAUAAAAUAAACUCAGCAAGCCAGUGAGGCAAUUUACAGUAACUCAGUAUCAUACAGUAUCAUUUGUUGUUCCAAACCUGCAUGAAAAAUAUAUUUUGGAGAGCACUGGGGUCCAAACAACAUUAAACCCCUGUUCCUUUCAUUGCAUGGACAAAAAUUAAACCAUUUAGGAAAUCUUGUUUUGUGUUGCACGGAAGAAAGCCCCAGAGAUUCGGAGCGACAUGAGGGUGAGUAAAUGAAGACAAAAUACUAAUUUUGUGGAUUGUUCCUUUAAGGUGCUGUGAAUCACUCCCUCUGUUGGCCAUUCGUUAGACAAAGAUAUAAACCAGUUCCAAACUCACACUCACUUUGUUAGGCUGGACAGAGAGAUUAAACCUGCCUCAAAGCUACAGAUUUCACACGUUUGGGGGAAUCAGUCAUCUCUGCAUAAUAAGCUUUGACAGCAGGAAAAAAAGAGACACCUCAGACUGCCCAUUUAAACAGCUAACAUGAGCAAAGUUACUAUUAUAUGCACAAACACACAUGGUUUCCUAUGGGGAGAACAUCAACCAUGAGUGAGUGAGUGAGUAUGUGGGCGCGUGUGUGUACGUGUGUUGUGCCGGGGGAAAGUGUGAGGGUGUGUAUGUCUGUGAACUCUGAUGUGACAGAGAGAAGGAUCCCUUCGAUCAGAGUGUGAUGCCACUGCCGCAAACAGUGUGUGUGUGCGCCUGAAUGCUGCCCGUGUGGUUUGGACCGCAACAGAUUUUUGUCCUAUAAUGACUGAUAGACCGAUCUCAG